rnacentral:rRNA from 1 species
UGGCUAAGUGGGAAACGAAGUGGGAAGGCUAAAACAGUCAGGAUGUUGGCUUAGAAGCAGCCAUCAUUUAAAGAAAGCGUAAUAGCUCACUGAUCGAGUCGUCCUGCGCGGAAGAUGUAACGGGGCUAAGCCAGUUACCGAAGCUGCGGAUUCACAGUUUACUGUGAGUGGUAGGAGAGCGUUCUGUAAGCCUGCGAAGGUGGCUUGUAAAGGCUGCUGGAGGUAUCAGAAGUGCGAAUGCUGACAUGAGUAGCGUUAAAGGGGGUGAAAAGCCCCCUCGCCGAAAGCGCAAGGUUUCCUACGCAACGUUCAUCGGCGUAGGGUGAGUCGGCCCCUAAGGCGAGGCAGAGAUGCGUAGCUGAUGGGAAACAGGUUAAUAUUCCUGUACCGAUCUAUGGUGCGAUGUGGGGACGGAGAAGGUUAGCUCAGCCAACUGUUGGAAUAGUUGGUUCAAGCAUGUAGGCGUGCUCUUUAGGCAAAUCCGGAGAGCUUAGCUGAGGUGUGAUAACGAGGCUGCUUGCAGCCGAAGUGAGUGAUACCCUGCUUCCAGGAAAAGCCACUAAGCUUCAGCCAUAGAUUGACCGUACCGCAAACCGACACUGGUGCGCGAGAUGAGUAUUCUAAGGCGCUUGAGAGAACUCUGGAGAAGGAACUCGGCAAAUUGACACCGUAACUUCGGAAGAAGGUGUGCCUUUAGUAGGUGAAGCCCCCGCGGGUGGAGCCCAAUGAGGUCGCAGAGAAUCGGUGGCUGCAACUGUUUAAUAAAAACACAGCACUCUGCAAAGACGAAAGUCGACGUAUAGGGUGUGACGCCUGCCCGGUGCUGGAAGAUUAAUUGAUGGGGUGCAAGCUCUUGAUCGAAGUCCCAGUAAACGGCGGCCGUAACUAUAACGGUCCUAAGGUAGCGAAAUUCCUUGUCGGGUAAGUUCCGACCUGCACGAAUGGCGUAAUGAUGGCCACACUGUCUCCUCCAGAGACUCAGCGAAGUUGAAAUGUUUGUGAUGAUGCAAUCUCCCCGCGGAAAGACGGAAAGACCCCAUGAACCUUUACUGUAGCUUUACAUUGGACUUUGAACAGAUCUGUGUAGGAUAGGUGGGAGGCUUUGAAGUACGGUCGCUAGAUCGUAUGGAGCCGACGUUGAAAUACCACCCUGGUGUGUUUGAGGUUCUAACCUUGGUCCCUGAAUCGGGAUUGGGGACAGUGUAUGGUGGGCAGUUUGACUGGGGCGGUCUCCUCCCAAAGUGUAACGGAGGAGUUCGAAGGUACGCUAGCCACGGUCGGAAAUCGUGGUGAUAGUGCAUAGGCAUAAGCGUGCUUGACUGCGAGACUGACAAGUCGAGCAGGUAGGAAACUAGGACUAAGUGAUCCGGUGGUUCUGUAUGGAAGGGCCAUCGCUCAACGGAUAAAAGGUACUCUGGGGAUAACAGGCUGAUACCGCCCAAGAGUUCAUAUCGACGGCGGUGUUUGGCACCUCGAUGUCGGCUCAU